rnacentral:rRNA from 1 species
GACGAACGCUGGCGGCGUGCUUAACACAUGCAAGUCGAACGGUGAAGCGCCUUCCUUUUUGGUGGGUGUGGAUGAGUGGCGAACGGGUGAGUAACACGUGAGUAACCUGCCCCCUUCUUCUGGAUAACCGCAUGAAAGUGUGGCUAAUACGGGAUAUUCUGGGUCUGUCGCAUGAUGGGUCUGGGAAAGAUAUUGUUUCGGUGGGGGAUGGGCUCGCGGCCUAUCAGCUUGUUGGUGGGGUGAUGGCCUACCAAGGCGGUGACGGGUAGCAGGCCUUAGAGGGUGGACGGUCACACUGGGACUGAGACACGGCCCAGACUCAUACGGGAGGCAGCAGUGGGGAAUAUUGCAAAAUGGGCGCAAGCCUGAUGCGGCGACGCCGCGUGAGGGAUGGAGGCCUUCGGGUUGUGAACCUCUUUCGCCAGUGAAGCAGGCCUGCCUCGUUUGUGGGUGGGUUGACGGUAGCUGGAUAAGAAGCGCCGGCUAACUACGUG